rnacentral:tRNA from 1 species
GCCCUGGUGGUGGAAUUGGUAGACACGCAGGACUUAAAAUCCUAUGGCCGCAAGGCCGUGGGGGUUCAAGUCCCCCCCGGGGUA